GGUACCGUUCUAUUGUUUGUAUUAUUUUAGUCUGUGUUAUCUUCGUUAGUUGUGGUGGUUUUGGUCUUGUUCUUUUCUUUUUAUUUAUUGUUAACAAUUUUUUGUUUAUUUGAGUGCCUGGGGUUGUUUUCCCUUUCUUAUCGUUUGAAUUUCGCGCACCGAGUUUCUCGGUCAGCGUGCCUUUUAUCUUGCUCUUUCGGUGCCAUGUUGGGCCCGUGUUUACGUUUCUCACAACGUAACCUAUAGAUGUCAGAUUGAUGUGUAUUUUUGUCUGUUCUUCGUUUUUAUGAAUUCUUUUUAUGUUAGUUGUAUGUUAACUUUUUAGUUUUCUUGUCUUAAACAGUGCAUGGGUUAAUUGUGGUUUUUACGGGUUUUUGCUUUUGGAGUGGUUGAGUCGAUGGUUUAAAUAUAUUCUGAUCCAGGUGAUCAAUUUGCAAUACCAUUAUUACUCGAGAGGUUGUUUGUUAAUGUGUUUCGAUCAUCUUCUUGUUUUUGUAAGUCGUUUGUUGUUUUUAUUCAUAUAUUUAAUUUCUUUUUAAUUGUGUUUUUAGACGGUGUGUGGAGGUAUCGAUUAUCUAUGAUUUCCAAAGGGUUUGUGUCUGUUUAUUAUUCGGGGCGUGGGUCAGAGUGAAUUUUCUUUUCAAAAUAUUUUUCUUGUGAGCCGAAUUUGAGGGUAUCUGUUUGGUUGUUGUGUACAACAUCUGCAGAGGACGGAUAGCUGUUCGGCUGGGAUUGCGGUGUGUGGAUUUCUUCGAUUUGAAAUUUUAUACGUAUUUAAUUUGGUGAGGACAACGAUAGGAGUUUGUUUUCAGGGAAGAUAGCGACCGUCUUUAAUCGUCUUCAGAUUUUUGUCAACAGGUUUAUUUCUUACAAUAUAUACGUAUAUUUUACAUGAUGUUCUUAUAACUAGGUCGAUAUUAAUAUUAAUAAUAAUACUUUUGUUUAUUUUUAUACAUAUGUUCUCGCUUUUGUAGUUGUGUUUCGUUAUCUUGGUGAUUUGUUCCUCUUCUGUUAUGGAUUAUGUUUUCCUUUGUCCGGUCUUUUGUUUUCCUUGCUUAGCGUACGUAUCGUGUCUCUCAGGUUCUUCCUUCGUUUGUGGGUUAUCCUUUAUACUACAUUGGCUCCGUUGUUGGUGGUAUUUCCAUUACGGUUCAAUUAGACGUUGUUCCCGGUUAUCGACAUUGUCCCGGUCAGGAGACCGGGACGAUUCCUUUGUUUUAGAGUGUUUAAUUUUUUAUCUCCGUAUACUACUUGUAAUUUGGGCAAUGGGAUUUUAAGAGUUGAAUAAACGAUUGUUUGUUACCAGA